GAUGAACGCUGGCGGCGUGCCUAAUACAUGCGAGUCGAGCGAACGGACGAGAAGCUUGCUUCUCUGAUGUUAGCGGCGGACGGGUGAGUAACACGUGGAUAACCUACCUAUAAGACUGGGAUAACUUCGGGAAACCGGAGCUAAUACCGGAUAAUAUUUUGAACCGCAUGGUUCAAAAGUGAAAGACGGUCUUGCUGUCACUUAUAGAUGGAUCCGCGCUGCAUUAGCUAGUUGGUAAGUUACCGGCUUACCAAGGCAACGAGGCAUAGCCGACCGGAGAGGGUGAUCGGCCACACUGGAACUGAGCCACGGUCCAGACUCCUACGGGAGGCAGCAGUAGGGAAUCUUCCGCAAUGGGCGAAAGCCUGACGGAGCAACGCCGCGUGAGUGAUGAAGGUCUUCGGAUCGUAAAACUCUGUUAUUAGGGAAGAACAUAUGUGUAAGUAACUGUGCACAUCUUGACGGUACCUAAUCAGAAAGCCACGGCUAACUACGUG
rnacentral:rRNA from 1 species